rnacentral:tRNA from 1 species
GGUAAAAUGGCUGAGUUUAAGGUGAUAGUUUGUAAAACUAUUAAGGGGAUUAUUUCUCUUUUACCA